rnacentral:rRNA from 1 species
GAUGAACGCUGGCGGCGUGCCUAAUACAUGCAAGUCGAGCGAACGGACGAGAAGCUUGCUUCUCUGAUGUUAGCGGCGGACGGGUGAGUAACACGUGGAUAACCUACCUAUAAGACUGGGAUAACUUCGGGAAACCGGAGCUAAUACCGGAUAAUAUUUUGAACCGCAUGGUUCAAAAGUGAAAGACGGUCUUGCUGUCACUUAUAGAUGGAUCCGCGCUGCAUUAGCUAGUUGGUAAGGUAACGGCUUACCAAGGCAACGAUGCAUAGCCGACCUGAGAGGGUGAUCGGCCACACUGGAACUGAGACACGGUCCAGACUCCUACGGGAGGCAGCAGUAGGGAAUCUUCCGCAAUGGGCGAAAGCCUGACGGAGCAACGCCGCGUGAGUGAUGAAGGUCUUCGGAUCGUAAAACUCUGUUAUUAGGGAAGAACAUAUGUGUAAGUAACUGAGCACAUCUUGACGGUACCUAAUCAGAAAGCCACGGCUAACUACGUG